rnacentral:rRNA from 1 species
UACGUAGGUGACCAGCGUUGUCCGGAUUUACUGGGCGUAAAGGGCGCGUAGGCGGCUUAUCAAGUCAGGCGUGAAAUUCCCGGGCUCAACCUGGGGGCUGCGCUUGAUACUGAUGAGCUUGAAUGCGGGAGAGGAUAGUGGAAUUCCCAGUGUAGAGGUGAAAUUCGUAGAUAUUGGGAAGAACACCGGUGGCGAAGGCGGCUAUCUGGCCCGUAAUUGACGCUGAGGCGCGAAAGCGUGGGGAGCAAACAGG